GACAGAGGUGCCGAGCGUUAGGCGGAAUCACUGGGCUUAAAGCGUGUGUAGGCGGGUCGUUAAGUACCUUGUGAAAUCCCCCGGCUCAACCGGGGAACUGCUGGGUAUACUGGCGAUCUUGAGCGAUCUAGGGGCAGAUGGAACAAGUGGUGGAGCGGUGAAAUGCGUAGAUAUCAUUUGGAACGCCAAUGGUGAAACAGGUAGCUGGGGAUGUGCUGACGCUGAGACACGAAAGCCAGGGAGCAAACGGG
rnacentral:rRNA from 1 species